rnacentral:tRNA from 7 species
CGCGGGGUGGAGCAGUGGUAGCUCGUCGGGCUCAUAACCCGAAGGUCACAGGUUCAAAUCCUGUCUCCGCAACCA